UACGUAGGGGGCAAGCGUUAUCCGGAAUUACUGGGUGUAAAGGGUGAGUAGGCGGCAUGGUAAGCCAGAUGUGAAAGCCUUGGGCUUAACCCGAAGAUUGCAUUUGGAACUAUCAAGCUAGAGUACAGGAGAGGAAAGCGGAAUUCCUAGUGUAGCGGUGAAAUGCGUAGAUAUUAGGAAGAACACCAGUGGCGAAGGCGGCUUUCUGGACUGAAACUGACGCUGAGGCACGAAAGCGUGGGGAGCGAACAGG
rnacentral:rRNA from 1 species